rnacentral:rRNA from 1 species
UACAGAGGUCUCAAGCGUUGUUCGGCUUCAUUGGGCGUAAAGGGUGCGUAGGCGGCGCGGUAAGUCGGGUGUGAAAUCUCGGAGCUUAACUCCGAAACUGCAUUCGAUACUGCCGUGCUUGAGGACUGGAGAGGAGACUGGAAUUUACGGUGUAGCGGUGAAAUGCGUAGAUAUCGUAAGGAAGACCAGUGGCGAGGGCGGGUCCCUGGACAGUUCCUGACGCUGAGGCACGAAGGCCAGGGGAGCAAACGGG